GGACCAUAGCUCAUUGGCUGAGCAUCUGCCUUCCAUGAAGAAGAUCCAUAGUUCAAUCCUUGGCAACUCCA